AUGGAGACGAAUUCACCAUGUGCUGACUUCUCAGUAACCGCAUCCAAUCUUCUGUGUGGCGACGAUAUCGCCAAAAUAUGUGCCAUGGUAGACAUUAUGGUGCACCUUGCUAGGGGCGAAACCCUUCCAGGUGACAUACAACUUCAUCACCUCAUUUCCAGCCUCACCUCAAUUUUGAUCCAAGCCCACAGCCACACCACAAUGAACCAUGCAGCCCGCUACACAUUGAAGGCAAUAAGAGCAUCCAUUGCCACAAACAUGACGAUGGAUCCAUCUGCCCGCAAUAAUGCCCUCUAUGCCAUUAGUUGUUGUUGGGAGGAUGAGGCCUUUGGGUACAUUUUACGUGACCCAGUAGAUCUAAGGUUGUUUACGCUCCCAGCGCAACGUGGUGCAUUGAGGAUCAUGCAAACAUGCCUCCCUCGUUUGCCUAUUCAUGUCAAUGAUGUCAGAUGUAUUGUGGGCUUUGUUUCAUUGUUAUCAUCACCCCACACAGAAGUGGUGUGUGGAUGCGCCGAUGCACUGUUGCCAUUGUCCUCUAUUCUGCCAGGAUUUGCUUAUGCCGUGGCAAAAGCCUAUUGUAAUUUGAUUACCCAUACACCAUCUCUACGAACUGAAAAUAUGGUAAUAGUUCUCGAUCGGCUACAACAGCUCAAGUCUGCCAUCAUGGAAGGUUCUGGUAUGGAUGACAUGGCCACGUAUGUGCUCCGUGCGCUAGCAGUCGGUGAUCUGGCUGUGCAACAGAAGGUUUUAAACCUCGCAAUGGGCCUCCUCACCCCGUGGAACAUCAAAAGCAUGGUCCACUUCUUGCAUAAUGAGAAGAAUGCAGCAACUGCGACUACUGAGUAUUGUGUAAUGCUGGAGCGGGCGAUCCAAGCAUGCAGUAAAAAAAUGAUUCUUGAAGGUGAUAUGCAUUAG
rnacentral:rRNA from 1 species